AGUGCGUGCGUAGUGCAUGCGUGUGUGUCGUAUACUUCCAUUAUUGAAGGGUUAUAAAUAAGCUAUCCACACAGGAAGAACAUGAGAAAACAGGGAGAUGGAGUUACAGUAUUCCAAUUCAUCUGAUGAUCUUUGAGCAAAGACUUGGACAAGCAUGUAUUUUCUCCAUGUCGUCUAUUCUUAACAAUGGGUCUUCAAGAAUAUCUUUGCUGUGUUGGUGACUAAGAGCUGAGCAUUGAGAACUUAAGGAAGCAGGCAGAUGGAGCAAGCUGGCCACUGGGAGCCAAAGCCCUGAGAACUAAUCCAGAAAAUGAGGAAAGAAAUCUACACUAUCCUAAAGGAUCCUCAAAUCUAAGUUAUCCUCAAAAAGAUGGGGCUGGGGGAGAAGGUUUGAAGAAAAUAGAAAUAAAAAUCAUUAGAUCAUAUGUUACUUUGCUUUCUGUUACAAUUAAUAAAACUCUGACCAAAGACAA